CUGUACAUAUGCAGUAUUGACAAUAAAACUACUUGACUUGACUUGACUAAUGUGGUAAAUAACUAAUCAAGAGUCCUAUAUUAGCUCUAGCUCUUCUGUGUAAGUUCUAAUAAUGUGUGUUUUUGUUUUUAGAAGACAAUCUAGUGAUAUUUCUGAAGACCACAGAGUUUUCAACCAGCUUAGAAGCAAGAGAGUUCCAGGCUUAUCUCAGUUUACGGAUCUGUACUGUGGAUCAGAACUGUAUGACACAAACAUCCAUAUUUGCUGUUCAGACAAGCUGUUCUCAAACGAGUACGGCCUUGCACAGUGCUGUGGUGCAGAGGUGUACCAGCUGUCAGAAGUGGGAGCGCUGUGCUGUGAUGGACAGCUGUAUCGAGACCAGCCGGUCGAUGCCAUCUGUUCUGGUAAAGCCGCGUACUCUCCGCUCAGCUAUACUGUAUGUCGGCAACAUGCUUACCUACCAACUGGCCAGCAGUGCUGUGGGAAUAACACCUUUGACCCUGAAAAAGAGAUCUGCUGCAAUGAACACAGGCAUAAAAGGGUAACGGCGGAUACGACCUGCUGUGGUUCUCAUGCUUACAGUCCCAGCAGCGGUAAACACAAGUGCUGCUCUGGUCACCUCCACGACCUCGCAAACAAAGAGGAGGUCGGAUGCUGCGGCACUCUACUGCUGACCAAUAAAACGGAGCAGCGCUGCUGCCACUCAACGGCAAAAACUCUGAUCUACGAUGCCCAGCCCGGACAUUCCUGCUGUGGGCACCUGUAUUACAGCCAUUCCCUGUGGAGCUGCUGCGCCGGACGACUGAUUCCCGAGCCAACAGAGAACAGGACUGGAACACAAUCAUCAGAAGAUUUCACACUUAGAGCGCUGACGGAUUAUAACUUUUCUGAUAUCUGCGACCUGCCAGGUAAGGCCUGUUUCUACUGCAAUAUUAUAUAGAUAAUUAUCUAUUUUGGUGUUUUUUUUUUGGCUACACACAACAGGUGAAAAUUGCCAGAUCUGUUACAUAUCCAAUUUGUGGCAAUGCGACUCGGUCUAAACAGCUGGAUCGUAAUUCAUGCACCUUUUAUGUCAAAGAGAAGGGAACAAAUGCUGCUUUGAGAUGUAAAAUGAAUAAAGGCAGUGAGAGAGGGGUUCA
rnacentral:lncRNA from 1 species